rnacentral:lncRNA from 1 species
CGACAGGAGACGCAUCCAUCCAUGAUGUAUACGACUAAAAUAGUCUAGCUUGCUACAUUUCCAGAUAUUACACGUUUCAGAUUUUGAUAGAAAGUGGUUUCAUUUCAAGUUAAAGUGUACUCUUAGCUAGCUAACGUUAGCUGGCUGGCUCGCUAGCUAUCUUUAGUGUAUGAUCUUAUUAUUCAUAUCUCAGAGCCAUUUGCUUGACCAUUUGCUAGCUACAUGUCUUAACAAAACUCCACUAAGUAUCCAUUUCAAUAGAAUGCCACUGCAACAAUUGUUGAUAGAUGUACUAGCUGGUAAAUUCGCUCUGGCUAUCUACUCCGAUUUCAGACCACGGUCCCCAGUUGUCUUGAAAGCACCAUAAGUCCAGAGAAUGCCAGACUUUGAUGACAACAUUUGCCCACGAAGGACCGUCGCGCCACCUUCCUGUUUAAGUGUGCACAGCACAACAAGGUGUGAUGGAGGACAAGACAAAACCAAUGGAAAAUGAAAAGUGGAUCAAUGAUGGCUAGAAGGUUGGUGACUUCGACCGCCGAACGCCGCCCGAACAAGGAGAGGGACCAACUUCGGCGGAAGUCGUGACAGCUUUAUAUAGAUUAAGAGUGGAAACGUUUAACAAUGUCUCAUUGGUUG